UCAUUAACAAACGGUUCAUUUUUUAGACUCCAGGAGGAAAUAACAAAUCUCUACCAAAUUUGAAAGACUUGACAUAUCUAUCUGAAGAAGAAAUACUCAAAGUCAAUGGAGAAUCAAGCUCUUUACAAUCAAAUAUUGAGAAUGCAAUAAAGAAAUGAAUCAUUUCCUUUAUAUGAAUAAACAAAAAGUACAGACUUGUGGAAAUUUAACGUCAUGGAAGCCAAACAACUUAUGAGUGAGGCAGUGAACUUCAAUGUGUUCCUUUGAGAAUAUAAAGAGAAUAUUCUUUUAGAAUUUUCUAGAAUUUUCCUAAGUAUUUUAUUAAUUACUUUAGCUUUUUUUUAAUUUGUUUUGUUGUUUUUGUUUUUGUGUCUUUAAGAAAAAAAAUUCUAUCUUUGUUUAUUAAUGCAUUCCUUCUUUGGUAAAGCAUAGCCUUUGGAUUUCCAUAUUCUGUUAGCUAAUUUAAAAUCAAAUAGUUUGAACAACUCAUUUUAUGCAGCAUCAAGACCUCUAUUUGCACCUCAAAUAUUUUUCUUGUCAUUUUGUACAUUUUUUUAAUCAAAAUUCAUACCUCUUUUCUUGUGCAGAUUUUGUCAAUAGACAGAUCAAUUCAUGAGCAACAACUGAAUUGUCCAUGGGUCCCUCCGACUCCAGUCCUUUGUCUGAUGAAUUCGAUGUGCUUGCUAAAAAAAUAUGUGGAUCUCAAGAUACACGAUCUGAUGAUUGUGAUAUCUACUCAUCUGCUGGCAAUGGAUUCAAUGCACACCAAAAAAAGAUGGCCAAGUUGAUUUUAGAAAAUUGUGUGAUGAAACUGGAUUUCUAUUAGACAAAAACAUCGAAAACUUACUGACCACUUAUCCACCAGAGAAAAGAAUUCUUGUUAAACUUGAGACCAUUUUCAAGAUGCUCGGAAUCAACUCAGAAGAAGACAUAAAAGCGCUCAAAAGAUAUUUCUUGCCGUAUGCAGUAUGCACUGAUUGCUCCCAGCGGCAAAUGCAAUCUGAAGCAGUCAACAGAAAAGCACUAGGAGACAAGAAAAAGUUUCAAACAUCCUCAUUGCCAAAUCUUUGUGCUCUUACCGAUGAUGAGAAAUGGAAGCUGCUCCAUCCUUCGGAGAGAAAGGCUGUCUCCGACAGUAAUCUGAAUUUUUGGUCUUCCGAAGAUAAAAAAGUUAGACUCUUGGAUUCGGCCCAAGAGAAACCAAAAUCUAGUUGUUUCGAUGAGCUGCAUUCUUUCGAUUUAGAACCUGCGAAUGUUUUAAAAGGAUUGACGAUUUUAUACAACAUUUCCAUGCAAUAAAACAACGUAAGUUUUUAACUCUUUUAAAGUUAUUUCUCCUUCCUUUUGAGGCUGUUCAUGGGAGGUCCCAAUUCCUUAUAAGUAAAAAAAUGGCACUGCCGAUAUGAUGGUCUCCUAAGUUGAUACAUCACAUUAUCACAUCUUGGUUUUACGUAAACUUACAUGUAUGCUUCUCCUCACGUUGUUCAGAUCCACAAACUACUUUGAGGAUGAUGCCUUCUCUUAUGAUCAAUCCAGCUUUAAGAUGACUUCUUUACCUCCAGAUGAUGUCAAAAAAUAUUGGGAACAAGUACAAAGCAUUUUCGCCAAAGACCGGGAACAACUUUGGAAUGCCUUGACCGUAGGACUUAGUAAAUACUUCAAGAUAUUGAAAGGUAUUGAUUUGGAUCUACUGGAACUUAAUCUUUCGCUCUGCUGUAUCAAACUAGCUUUCCAAUAAUUUCACAUUUUUACGAAGUUUACAUUCAUUACGAAUAUCAUUGUUAAUACUGUCCCUCCGAAGCUGUCCAUUCAUUGUAAUUUCUCCAAUGACACUUAUAAAGAGUGUGUCUCCUGUUAUCUGUAGUUACUUUCGUGAGUAAAUCCAUUUAAACAAUAAUCAUCGUGGAUUAUUUGAUACUUCUAGGAAAUCGACACAAAGAAUGGAAAUCUUACAACAAAAUAUUGAAGUUUUGCCUUAUCAAAGCAGAAUAUUCAAAGAAAGGUUUCGUCCGGUAAUACUUUUUUUAUCUUCUCCUCUUUUCAGACAGGCAGAAGGUGAGAUCAGAAAUUCAUAUUCUAGAAAAAGAAAACAAAGAGUUGAAAAACUUCUCGGAAAACACCUCGGCCACUCCAAGGUAGCAUGUUGUCAAUUUACUCUGAAUUUUAUACAUCCAUAAUCUUAGUAUUUAAGUGAUAAAUCCCUCAUUUUUUCCAAUUUCAGUUUACCUUUUUACUGAAUUUUCCUUAUAAUUUUACAAUGCUCUAAAAAUUAUAGAAAAUUCAUCCCAUGGUUUCCACACUAAAAUAUAAAUUAGCGAUGAAUAUUCUGAAACAGUUCAACCAAGAACUGCCCUUCCUGCUUUCAGCGUCUGAAUCAUGUGGAUUUUAUGGGAGGUACCGCAAUCCGUGUUCAAAGUCAUACCUGCAGGGUUGCCACGAUCAGGGAAUUCACGGAAAACCUGGAAAAGUCAGGGGGAAAAAAGUGCUCUGGGAAACCUGGAAAAGUCAGGGAAUUUGACCAAAAACAGCUAAAAGUCAGGGAAAAAUUGAAAAUUUUCACGAGUUGCUUAAAAUUUCAAAAGAACAAUCGUUCAAAAGUUUUCAUUUCUAAAACAAUUAUUGGGUUGCUCAAGAAAGUCAAAAGCAUCAAAAUUAAAAGAAAUAGUUAACAACCCUUUUUGUAUUUCCAAACGUUCUACAAUUAAUUUCUGACUCCUUAGCUUAAGCGCGUUUCAAAUGAGACGCUAUAUUAGUGCGAUGGUAGCUAGCAAGGUGUAAAUUUGGCUGUGCAAUCAUGGCGUGCGUUCUCAAAAGUCAGGGAAUUUCUCCAUUUUUCGUCAGGGAAAACCUGGAAAAGUCAGGGAAAAUCAUUUCCAAAUUUUUGUGGCAACCCUGUACCUAAGAUGGAGCUUUCACUUGCUGUGCUGCUUACCUUACAAUCUACGAGUUGUGCAUAACUCAUCUUGGAUUCAUUUUUUGAGCAUUACAUAACCCUAUAUUCUUUCUAAAUUCCAAAUUUUGAAAAGUAACUGUAUUUUUCAAUAGUUUACCUUUUUUUUCUCGUUUUCUUUCCAGGUGAAAACUGCACCAGUAAAAGUUGUUUUCCACCUCUUCAAGAGCCAAGGGCAAAAAGCGCUACAAUAAUCAAUUACACGUGUUUGAAGAACUUACCAAUCUGUGAUAUUUGUGCAAACACUGUGUACCUCAAGUUAUAUUAUUUUUAUUAAAGAAAAUCGAACCGUUCUCCAUAUUCUGUUUUUUUUUCUCUAUUUAUUAUCGGCAUUGCAUCUCGUUUUGGAGUGAAUAGUAUCAAAAAUAUUUUAAAUCUAUACAUUGGGCAUUGGAAUAUGCAGAAUGUCUAUCCUAUUCCAACAGUUCGUUUGAAUAAGAAGAGUUACUCUAUUUUAUAGGAAAUUUCUUAGAAUUUUCCUCUUUGUGGACAUUGAAGGUGUAGAUGUAGAAGUUCAAUCAUGUUUGCAUGUUUUUGUGUUCAACCAGGUGUGCAGAAAUUUUUCAAAAUGCUGAUUUUUUGUCGUGAUCAGACAUUUUUCCUGUUUGCCUCACAGCCUUGCUUUUAGUAUUGCCAAGUAAACAUUUUAUUUUUUUAUAGGAGAAUCGUCACAUAAAUUUGCUCGUGAGAUUACUUACCAGUGAUUUCACUUUACCCUUUGAGAAAAGACACCAAAAUUUUUCGGACGAAAUUGUGAGACGAUGCUCUCAUGAAAAUAUGAAAUGUUUGCAUGCAGACUU
rnacentral:lncRNA from 1 species